CGGAGAGGCUUUAGUUAAAUCACUUCAGAACACGAAAUAUUCAAUCGAUGAGAAGUUAGAAAAUAGUUUUAUUUCUCUUUUUGGGAAAAAACAUAAUCCAUCCCCAUCAAAUCAUGCUAAAGCUGAUCAAACUAAUGAUUUGGUGCCUGCGGAGCGAGAUCAGUCUGGGUUUGAACCCAACAGCGAUGGAUCAGAUGAGGACAAUGAUGCUGAAGAUUUGAAGCGUACUCAUCUUAAGGAGUCAAACGACUCCUCGGAUGAUAGUUCUGAGGAAGAAGAUAAUAUUGGACCAGAGAAGCACCCAGGAUUGAGUAGUAGUUUCAGGGAACAUGUUGAUUUUCAUGACGG
rnacentral:misc_RNA from 1 species